AUGAACGCUGGCGGCGUGCUUAACACAUGCAAGUCGAACGAUGAAGCCCAGCUUGCUGGGUGGAUUAGUGGCGAACGGGUGAGUAACACGUGAGUAACCUGCCCUUAACUCUGGGAUAAGCCUGGGAAACUGGGUCUAAUACCGGAUAGGAGCGUCCACCGCAUGGUGGGUGUUGGAAAGAUUUAUCGGUUUUGGAUGGACUCGCGGCCUAUCAGCCUGUUGGUGAGGUAAUGGCUCACCAAGGCGACGACGGGUAGCCGGCCUGAGAGGGUGACCGGCCACACUGGGACUGAGACACGGCCCAGACUCCUACGGGAGGCAGCAGUGGGGAAUAUUGCACAAUGGGCGCAAGCCUGAUGCAGCGACGCCGCGUGAGGGAUGACGGCCUUCGGGUUGUAAACCUCUUUCAGUAGGGAAGAAGCGAAAGUGACGGUACCUGCAGAAGAAGCACCGGCUAACUACGUG
rnacentral:rRNA from 1 species